GUUCUGGCUGAGAGCUCUUGGGGAUGGUAUUGUGAAGUAUGGUUGGGCCAGCUGAAACAUCUUCAUAAACUCCUUAUUUUCAACAGUAGAGAGGGGAGCAGACCAUUUGCAAUCUAUGUCACAAUGCUAUCGGUGAGAACAACUUGACGUGUAUCGGUUGUUGACCACUUAUAGCUUGAAGUUGUUGCUGGAAGAUGACCAUCAUCUGCAUCUUGGUUUGGUUGGUUUGUGUGACUGCUGGUUGCAGACUCAAUCAAGAUUUCAGGAUGUUUCCGAGCCAUGGGAUCA